UUAGUACGGCGAGUGAAGCGGUAAAAGCUCAAAUUUGAAAUCUGGUACUUUCAGUGCCCGAGUUGUAAUUUGUAGAAUUUGUCUUUGAUUAGGUCCUUGUCUAUGUUCCUUGGAACAGGACGUCAUAGAGGGUGAGAAUCCCGUUUGGCGAGGAUACCUUUUCUCUGUAAGACUUUUUCGAAGAGUCGAGUUGUUUGGGAAUGCAGCUCAAAGUGGGUGGUAAAUUCCAUCUAAAGCUAAAUAUUGGCGAGAGACCGAUAGCGAACAAGUACAGUGAUGGAAAGAUGAAAAGAACUUUGAAAAGAGAGUGAAAAAGUACGUGAAAUUGUUGAAAGGGAAGGGCAUUUGAUCAGACAUGGUGUUUUUUGCAUGCACUCGCCUCUCGUGGGCUUGGGCCUCUCAAAAAUUUCACUGGGCCAACAUCAAUUCUGGCAGCAGGAUAAAUCAUUAAGAAUGUAGCUACUUCGGUAGUGUUAUAGCUUUUUGGAAUACUGUUAGCCGGGAUUGAGGACUGCGCUUCGGCAAGGAUGUUGGCAUAAUGGUUAAAUGCCGCCCGUCUUGAAA
rnacentral:rRNA from 1 species